GCAUUGGUGGUUUAGUAGUAUAAUUCUUGCCUUCCACGUGGAAAACCCGUGCUCAAUUCCUGGCCAGUGCA
rnacentral:tRNA from 1 species